GACGAACGCUGGCGGCGUGCUUAACACAUGCAAGUCGAACGGAAAGGCCCUGCUUUUGUGGGGUGCUCGAGUGGCGAACGGGUGAGUAACACGUGAGUAACCUGCCCUUGACUUUGGGAUAACUUCAGGAAACUGGGGCUAAUACCGGAUAGGAGCUCCUGCUGCAUGGUGGGGGUUGGAAAGUUUCGGCGGUUGGGGAUGGACUCGCGGCUUAUCAGCUUGUUGGUGGGGUAGUGGCUUACCAAGGCUUUGACGGGUAGCCGGCCUGGGAGGGUGACCGGCCACAUUGGGACGGAGAUACGGCCCAGCCUCCUACGGGAGGCAGAGGGGGGGAAGGUUGCACAAUGGGCGGAAGCCUAAUGCAGCAACGCCGCGUGCGGGAUGUGGGGCUUCGGGUUGUAAACCGCUUUCGCCUGUGACGAAGCGUGAGUGACGGUAAUGGGUAAAGAAGCACCGGCUAACUACGUG
rnacentral:rRNA from 1 species